UUAUGUACAUUAAUGGUCAAAGAUCAAACAAACAAGCAAAAUAUACACAAACAAAAUAUAUCACACAAUAUGGUCCAAAUGGACAAAGUGAAACCUGCAUUAACAUAAACAAUUAGAAUGAUAUGAACAAUGGCAAAUGAAAUAGAGUGCUAAAUAUAAAUUGCAUUAAAGUAAAAGCUUGAAAUUAAAAGUUAGUAGUUAAUUGAUUAGGAGUUAGUAUUGUUUUGCUUUUUCUUU
rnacentral:lncRNA from 1 species